CCGACGUCUGUGAUCUCUUUUUUGCCAGAAAUCAGCAUUUCCUUCGCCUUCUCCUCCUACUGUUCUUCCAUUUCAGAAAAAUAAAACCCAUUAACACCACCAUUCAAUCCCUUUAAAUCAUACGUCAUGAAAACACCAUUAUGUUUCUUUACCAAUCCCUACUAAUAUUCGACUACAUAAACCCCCAAAAAAGUUAUCCUGUGCAGAUUCUCAAUGCUUACCUAUCCCCUUUCUCCUUUCAAAAUUCAUAAGCAUUGCCUGAUUUUGUUGUUGCAGAUUUUGGAGCACCACGGACUCAGGUUCACGGACCUGAAAUAAAUCCUACAACGAUUAAAACUGCAACAAGAAUGGUGCCUCAUUUUACCAAAAAUCAAGCAAGUGCAAUAGCUUUAGGCAUGUAAUCUUAACAUUGUUUAAAUCUUUCGGCAGAAAAUUCAAUGGUUCAAUCUAUCACUAAUCAAGCCAUAGCUGUAAUCAAUUGUUGGAUGUAAGAUGAGGUAUUUGUGAAAUUACUGUCAUUUGUGGUU